UACGAAGGGGGCUAGCGUUGUUCGGAAUUACUGGGCGUAAAGCGCGCGCAGGCGGUCUUCCAAGUCAGUGGUGAAAGCCCGGAGCUCAACUCCGGAACUGCCAUUGAAACUGUUAGACUUGAGGAUGAGAGAGGUGAGUGGAAUUCCCAGCGUAGAGGUGAAAUUCGUAGAUAUUGGGAAGAACACCGGUGGCGAAGGCGGCUCACUGGCUCAUUACUGACGCUCAGGCGCGAUAGCGUGGGGAUCAAACAGG
rnacentral:rRNA from 1 species